rnacentral:rRNA from 1 species
GAUGAACGCUGGCGGCGUGCCUAAUACAUGCAAGUCGAGCGGACGGACGCGAAGCUUGCUUCUCUGAUGUUAGCGGCGGGCGUGUGUGUAACACGUGGAUACCCUCCCUGUAAGACGGGGAUCACUUCGGGACACCGGAGCUUAUCCCGUAUGAUCUUUUGAUCCGCAUGGUUCAAAAGUGAAAGACGGUCUUGCUGUCACUUAUAGAUGCAUCCGGGCUGCAUUAGCUGGUUGGUAAGGUAACGGCUUACUACGGCAACGAUGCAUAGCCGACCUGAUAGGCGGAUAGGCCACACUGGAGCGGAGACAGGGUCCAUACUCCUACGGGAGGCAGCAGUCGGGUACCUGCGGCAAUGGGCGAAAGCCUGACGGAGCAACGCGGCGCGUGUGAUAAAGGUGUCCGGAUCGUAAAACCCGGUUAUGAGGUAAGAACAGCUGUGGAAGGAAACGUGCACAGCGUGACGGUACCUAAUCAGAAAGCCACGGCUAACUACGUG